rnacentral:rRNA from 1 species
GACGAACGCUGGCGGCGUGCUUAACACAUGCAAGUCGAACGAAGCUUGAUUACGGAUUCUUCGGAUGAAGUAUGAUAUGACUGAGUGGCGGACGGGUGAGUAACGCGUGAGUAACCUGCCCUUCAGAGGGGGAUAGCGUUUGGAAACGAACGGUAAUACCGCAUAAUGUAUUUUGACCGCAUGAUCGAAAUACCAAAGAUUUAUCGCUGAAGGAUGGACUCGCGUCUGAUUAGGUAGAUGGUGGGGUAACGGCCUACCAAGACGACGAUCAGUAGCCCGACUGAUAAGAUGAUCGGCCACAUUGGGACGGAGACACGGCCCAGACUCCUACGGGAGGCAGCAGUGGGGAAUAGUGGACAAUGGGCGCGAGCCUGAUGCAGCAACGCCGCGUGAAGGAAGACGGUUUUCGGAUUGUAAACUUCUGUUCUUAGUGAAGAAUAAUGACGGUAGCUAAGGAGCAAGCCACGGCUAACUACGUG